GACGAACGCUGGCGGCGUGCCUAAUACAUGCAAGUUGAGCGCUGAAGGUUGGUACUUGUACCAACUGGAUGAGCAGCGAACGGGUGAGUAACGCGUGGGGAAUCUGCCUUUGAGCGGGGGACAACAUUUGGAAACGAAUGCUAAUACCGCAUAAAAACUUUAAACACAAGUUUUAAGUUUGAAAGAUGCAAUUGCAUCACUCAAAGAUGAUCCCGCGUUGUAUUAGCUAGUUGGUGAGGUAAAGGCUCACCAAGGCGAUGAUACAUAGCCGACCUGAGAGGGUGAUCGGCCACAUUGGGACUGAGACACGGCCCAAACUCCUACGGGAGGCAGCCGUAGGGGAUCUUCGGCAAUGGACGAAAGUCUGACCGAGCAACGCCGCGUGAGUGAAGAAGGUUUUCGGAUCGUAAAACUCUGUUGGUAGAGAAGAACGUUGGUGAGAGUGGAAAGCUCAUAAAGUGACGGUAACUACCCAGAAAGGGACGGCUAACUACGUG
rnacentral:rRNA from 1 species